GACGAACGCUGGCGGCGUGCCUAAUACAUGCAAGUAGAACGCUGAGGGAGGAGCUUGCUUCUCUGGAUGAGUUGCGAACGGGUGAGUAACGCGUAGGUAACCUGCCUGGUAGCGGGGGAUAACUAUUGGAAACGAUAGCUAAUACCGCAUAAUAGCAGUUAUUGCAUGAUAACUGUUUGAAAGGUGCAAUUGCACCACUGCCAGAUGGACCUGCGUUGUAUUAGCUAGUUGGUGGGGUAACGGCUCACCAAGGCGACGAUACAUAGCCGACCUGAGAGGGUGAUCGGCCACACUGGGACUGAGACACGGCCCAGACUCCUACGGGAGGCAGCAGUAGGGAAUCUUCGGCAAUGGACGGAAGUCUGACCGAGCAACGCCGCGUGAGUGAAGAAGGUUUUCGGAUCGUAAAGCUCUGUUGUAAGAGAAGAACGAGUGUGAGAGUGGAAAGUUCACACUGUGACGGUAUCUUACCAGAAAGGGACGGCUAACUACGUG
rnacentral:rRNA from 1 species